UCAGUCUUGGAAUCAAGAUGCUUUGGGACUGACACGGUAAUAGCCACCCACAAGGGGAUCUGCUCAGGGUGGCGCGUAUGGCAGUCAAACGGUGAAAGUAGGAGCCCUUGGUCAGUUGGUGCCAAGCCCAGGGGAACCCCGAAUUUUAUAACCGUUUGACCGUUCGGGCGUAGCAGGGCGAGCCGAGUGCUGAUAACACGAUUGAAGGCUGAAACCGAACAGUGAGC
rnacentral:ncRNA from 1 species